GGAGGUCGACGAGGGGGAGGGAGAGGUUGCCGGAGCCGGUGCGCCACGUGGCGGACUGCGAGAGGAAGAGGUAUCCGAUGAAGUUGUCGUGCGGGGAGGUCGGAGGGGAAUAGAUGGCGAGGAAGUCGAGGUCGGAGGGGGAAGGGAUGCCGGACCAGCGGAGAUUGACGGUGGCGCCGGAGGCUGGGAGGGUGGUUGGCGUGGCGGUGAGGGAGGGUUUGGAUUCAGCGAGGUGGAAGAAGAUGAUGAAUAAGGAGAAGAGGAAGGGGAGGGGUAGAUCGGGAAUCAUGGUGGUGGAUUUGGAUCUGUGAUAAAUUUGGAAGAUUGAGACUAUGAAUUGAAUCAAUUCUUCAUUGUUGAAUCAUGAAUGUUUGAUUAUUGAUUCAUUCCUUUGAUAAGGGCAUGGGAUGUGAAAUAAAAUAAUAAAUAAUCGUUUUUAACUCUAGUGUGUUGAUAAAUUCGAAAAUUUAAAUUUGUCAAAAAUUAAAAAAGUGUCAUAAUUCUAU
rnacentral:lncRNA from 1 species